rnacentral:pre_miRNA from 1 species
UGACAGCAGCAAUAUGUUAGGGUGGCCUUUUGUUGCUUAUUGCUGCUGUCAAACAAACUGGCAACAAAAGGCCACCCUAACAUAUUGCUGCUGUCA